UGGGGAAUAUUGGACAAUGGGCGAAAGCCUGAUCCAGCCAUGCCGCGUGUGUGAAGAAGGCCUUUUGGUUGUAAAGCACUUUAAGUGGGGAGGAAAAGCUUAUGGUUAAUACCCAUAAGCCCUGACGUUACCCGCAGAAUAAGCACCGGCUAACUCUGUGCCAGCAGCCGCGGUAAUACAGAGGGUGCAAGCGUUAAUCGGAAUUACUGGGCGUAAAGCGCGCGUAGGUGGUUAUUUAAGUCAGAUGUGAAAGCCCCGGGCUUAACCUGGGAACUGCAUCUGAUACUGGAUAACUAGAGUAGGUGAGAGGGGAGUAGAAUUCCAGGCGUAGCGGUGAAAUGCGUAGAGAUCUGGAGGAAUACCGAUGGCGAAGGCAGCUCCCUGGCAUCAUACUGACACUGAGGUGCGAAAGCGUGGGUAGCAAACAGGGAUUAGAUACCCUGGUAGUCCACGCCGUAAAACGAUGUCUACCAGUCGUUGGGUCUUUUAAAGACUUAGUGACGCAGUUAACGCAAUAAGUAGACCGCCUGGGGGAGUACGGCCGCAAGGUUA
rnacentral:rRNA from 1 species